UGAAAGAAUAACAUUGUAAAUCAAGUCGUCGGCAAUCAAUUACGAUAUAUCAACAAUUGAAAAAAUCUGCCAAAGUUUCAUCACAAUCAAUUAAUUUCACAAGUCUUAUUAAAAAAGUUUUCAAGCUUGUGUAAAAAAAAAUUUUACUUAAGGUAAUGAUUAGUUAGUUAGUUGCUCUCGUAAAUGUCUAUCUCUUUGUUAGGAUCUCAAACGACAAUUCCGCAACUGUCUGAAAUAUAAUAUAAAUAGUUAAAUAGAGGAAUAACCAAACAACAUCAUAGAAAUGCCAAUAAGUAUAAUAUUAC